rnacentral:rRNA from 1 species
GAUGAACGCUGGCGGCGUGCUUAACACAUGCAAGUCGAACGGAAAGGCCCAAGCUUGCUUGGGUACUCGAGUGGCGAACGGGUGAGUAACACGUGGGUGAUCUGCCCUGCACUUCGGGAUAAGCCUGGGAAACUGGGUCUAAUACCGGAUAGGACCACUUCUUGGAUGUUGUGGUGGAAAGUUUUUUCGGUGUGGGAUGAGCUCGCGGCCUAUCAGCUUGUUGGUGGGGUAAUGGCCUACCAAGGCGUCGACGGGUAGCCGGCCUGAGAGGGUGUACGGCCACAUUGGGACUGAGAUACGGCCCAGACUCCUACGGGAGGCAGCAGUGGGGAUUAUUGCACAAUGGGCGCAAGCCUGAUGCAGCGACGCCGCGUGGGGGAUGACGGCCUUCGGGUUGUAAACUCCUUUCGCUAGGGACGAAGCGUUUUGUGACGGUACCUGGAGAAGAAGCACCGGCUAACUACGUG